rnacentral:rRNA from 1 species
UACGAAGGGGGCUAGCGUUGCUCGGAAUCACUGGGCGUAAAGGGUGCGUAGGCGGCCCUGUAAGUCAGUGCUGAAAUAUCCCAGCUUAACUGGGAGGGUGGCAUUGAUACUGCGGGGCUAGAGUACAGAUGAGGUAGGCGGAAUUGACGGUGUAGCGGUGAAAUGCUUAGAUAUCGUCAAGAACACCUAUAGCGAAGGCAGCUUACUAGGCUGUAACUGACGCUGAGGCACGAAAGUGUGGGGAUCAAACAGG